rnacentral:rRNA from 1 species
UGGGGAAUUUUGGACAAUGGGCGAAAGCCUGAUCCAGCAAUGCCGCGUGUGUGAAGAAGGCCUUCGGGUUGUAAAGCACUUUUGUCCGGAAAGAAAUCCUUGGCUCUAAUACAGUCGGGGGAUGACGGUACCGGAAGAAUAAGCACCGGCUAACUACGUGCCAGCAGCCGCGGUAAUACGUAGGGUGCAAGCGCUAAUCGGAAUUACUGGGCGUAAAGCGUGCGCAGGCGGUUUGCUAAGACCGAUGUGAAAUCCCCGGGCUCAACCUGGGAACUGCAUUGGUGACUGGCAGGCUAGAGUAUGGCAGAGGGGGGUAGAAUUCCACGUGUAGCAGUGAAAUGCGUAGAGAUGUGGAGGAAUACCGAUGGCGAAGGCAGCCCCCUGGGCCAAAUACUGACGCUCAUGCACGAAAGCGUGGGGAGCAAACAGGAUUAGAUACCCUGGUAGUCCACGCCCUAAACGAUGUCAACUAGUUGUUGGGGAUUCAUUUCCUUAGUAACGUAGCUAACGCGUGAAGUUGACCGCCUGGGGAGUACGGUCGCAAGAUUAAAACUCAAAUGAAUUGACGGGGUCAUAGCUGUUUCCU